UACGAAGGGGGCUAGCGUUGUUCGGAAUCACUGGGCGUAAAGCGCACGUAGGCGGAUGUGCCAGUCAGGGGUGAAAUCCCGGAGCUCAGCUCCGGAACUGCCUCUGAUACAGCACGUCUUGAGUUCGAGAGAGGUGGGUGGAAUUCCUAGUGUAGAGGUGAAAUUCGUAGAUAUUAGGAAGAACACCGGUGGCGAAGGCGGCCCACUGGCUCGAUACUGACGCUGAGGUGCGAAAGCGUGGGGAGCAAACAGG
rnacentral:rRNA from 1 species